rnacentral:rRNA from 1 species
GACGAACGCUGGCGGCGUGCCUAAUACAUGCAAGUAGAACGCUGAAGGAGGAGCUUGCUUCUCCGGAUGAGUUGCGCACGGGUGAGUAACGCGUAGGUAACCUGCCUGGUAGCGGGGGAUAACUAUUGGAAACGAUAGCUAAUACCGCAUAAGAGUAGAUGUCGCAUGACAUUUGCUUAAAAGGUGCAACUGCACCACUACCAGAUGGACCUGCGUUGUAUUAGCUAGUUGGUGAGGUAACGGCUCACCAAGGCAACGAUACAUAGCCGACCCGAGAGGGUGAGCGGCACAAAUGGGAAUGAGACCACGCCCAGAACCCUAACGGAGGCAGCAGUAGGGAAUCUUCGGCAAUGGACGGAAGGCUGAACGAGCCAAGGCGGGUGAGUGAAGAAGGUUGUCGGAUCGUAAAGCUCUGUUGUAAGGGAAGAAAGAGUGUGAGAGUGGAAAGUUCACACUGUGACGGUACCUUACCAGAAAGCGACGGCUAACUACGUG